GGCCAGCAUCAGUUUUCCGGGGCGGAUAAUGGCAGUUAGAAUGUAGCAGUCUCGGCUGUGUUAUAGCUUUCUGCUGGAUACGUCCUNGGGGACUGAGGAACGCAGCGUGCCGUAUGGCNAGGGCUUNGGUNGUUUCACGCUUAGGAUGCUGGUGGAAU
rnacentral:rRNA from 1 species